AGCAGCCGCGGUAAUUCCAGCUCCAAUAGCGUAUAUUAAAGUUGUUGCAGUUAAAAAGCUCGUAGUUGAAUUUCGGGAUCAAUACGUCUGUCGUGCCUUUGGUACGUACGGGUGUAAUUGGUUUCUACCUUCUGAGGAUCCUUGAUGUCAUUAAUUUGGUGUCUUGGGGAAUCAGGACUGUUACCUUGAAAAAAUUAGAGUGUUUAAAGCAGGCAUACGCUUGAAUACAUUAGCAUGGAAUAAUGAAAUAGGACGUUCGAUUCUAUUUUGUUGGUUUCUAGGAUCGACGUAAUGAUUAAUAGGGAUAGUUGGGGGCAUUAGUAUUCAAUUGUCAGAGGUGAAAUUCUUGGAUUUAUUGAAGACUAACUACUGCGAAAGCAUUUGCCAAGGAUGUUUUCAUUAAUCAAGAACGAAAGUUAGGGGAUCGAAGACGAUCAGAUACCGUCGUAGUCUUAACCAUAAACUAUGCCGACUAGGGAUCGGAUGAUGUUAAUUUUUAAUGACUCAUUCGGCGCCUUAA
rnacentral:rRNA from 1 species